rnacentral:rRNA from 1 species
UGGCUCAGAUUGAACGCUGGCGGCAGGCCUAACACAUGCAAGUCGAGCGGAUGACGGGAGCUUGCUCCUUGAUUCAGCGGCGGACGGGUGAGUAAUGCCUAGGAAUCUGCCUGGUAGUGGGGGACAACGUUCCGAAAGGAGCGCUAAUACCGCAUACGUCCUACGGGAGAAAGUGGGGGAUCUUCGGACCUCACGCUAUCAGAUGAGCCUAGGUCGGAUUAGCUAGUUGGUGAGGUAAAGGCUCACCAAGGCGACGAUCCGUAACUGGUCUGAGAGGAUGAUCAGUCACACUGGAACUGAGACACGGUCCAGACUCCUACGGGAGGCAGCAGUGGGGAAUAUUGGACAAUGGGCGAAAGCCUGAUCCAGCCAUGCCGCGUGUGUGAAGAAGGUCUUCGGAUUGUAAAGCACUUUAAGUUGGGAGGAAGGGCAGUAAGUUAAUACCUUGCUGUUUUGACGUUACCGACAGAAUAAGCACCGGCUAACUCUGUGCCAGCAGCCGCGGUAAUACAGAGGGUGCAAGCGUUAAUCGGAAUUACUGGGCGUAAAGCGCGCGUAGGUGGUUCGUUAAGUUGGAUGUGAAAGCCCCGGGCUCAACCUGGGAACUGCAUCCAAAACUGGCGAGCUAGAGUAUGGUAGAGGGUGGUGGAAUUUCCUGUGUAGCGGUGAAAUGCGUAGAUAUAGGAAGGAACACCAGUGGCGAAGGCGACCACCUGGACUGAUACUGACACUGAGGUGCGAAAGCGUGGGGAGCAAACAGGAUUAGAUACCCUGGUAGUCCACGCCGUAAACGAUGUCAACUAGCCGUUGGAAUCCUUGAGAUUUUAGUGGCGCAGCUAACGCAUUAAGUGACCGCCUGGGAGACGCCGAACUUGU